AAGGACCCGGUCAGCCCUGGGAGCACAGGUGAAGGCAAUUGAGCUCUGCGACCAGAGGGGGUGGAGCCUGGCUGCACCUCUCUUAGACCUCACUUAAGGGCUGACUGCCACUGGGGCAGGAUCUCCUCGUGGAGAUCUCUCUUUGGUGAAGCUUUUUCCUGCAAACCUGGAAUCUUCUGAUAUGGCAUGGUUUGACCUGGUUGUGGUCCAAGGGUUUAUCUUGGGAUGUUAACAUCAAGAUCCAAGUGUUUUCCAGACCUUUGCUUGCCUGUGCAUCUUCAGAGCAAGCCGUUCCUUUGCCUCAAAGCCAAGCUGUAUCAAAGGACCAGUGAAAGACAUCUAACACAGUCACCUACCUACUCCUUUCACUUGGCAAAGACAGCUUUGACUGCAACUGUGUGCCAUGGACUGUCUCCUAAAACAAAGCAAUGCUUCAUGUAGGAGAAGUGUCUAAAGAAAGAAACAAAGUUGGCCCAAAGUGUUGCAUGCGGUGCCCUUGAGAUUCUUGUGAUGCUGGAGGAUGUUUCCUAAAAGAAGGAUUGUGUGACAAGAGUAACUUUGUGAAUAAGGCUUGUUAACCAGUACCUUGAAAUUCUGCAAGGCGAGUUUGCAUAGCAUAUCCUUGAAAUUACACUUGGAAGCUAUUACUUGGACAGUUACUUUAGAG
ensembl:lncRNA